UGGAGCAUGUGGUUAAUUCGACGCAACGACGAAGAACCUUACCUGGACUUGACAUCUGGGGAAUCCCUAUGAAGUAGGAGUGCCCUUCGGGGAGCCCCAAGACAGGUGCUGCAUGGCUGUCGUCAGCUCGUGUCGUGAGAUGUUGGGUUAAGUCCCGCAACGAGCGCAACCCUUGUCUCUAGUUACCAUCAUUUGGUUGGGGACUCUAGAGAUACUGCCAAGGUUAACUUGGAGGAAGGUGGGGAUGGCGUCAAGUCCUCAUGGCCUUUAUGUCCAGGGCUACACACGUGCUACAAUGGACGGUACAGAGGGUCGCAAUAUCGCGAGAUGGAGCCAAUCCCAAAAAGCCGUUCCCAGUUCGGAUCGGAGUCUGCAACUCGACUCCGUGAAGCUGGAUUCGCUAGUAAUCGGAUGUCAGCAAUGAUCCGGUGAAUACGUUCCCGGGCCUU
rnacentral:rRNA from 1 species